rnacentral:lncRNA from 1 species
ACAAAGCUAUUCCACCCGGAACAGGCUGGCUUCCGUAAAGGUCACAGUACAUCUGGCCAAUGUCUUGUUCUAUUUACCCUGAUUGAUAAAUACCUAAACAGGUUUAACUGCAAACUACACGCGGCUUUUGUGGACCUGACCGCCGCUUUUGACUCCAUUCCCAGAGAUAGGCUAUGGCAGAAGCUUAGUUACACCAACAUAGAUAAGAGACUCCUCCUUCUUCUUAUGGAAAUUCAUAAUGACAUAUCGGCCAGAGUAAAAUUCGGCCCCUGGGAGCUCUUUCUGAUUCUUUCCCUCUGAAUAAAGGGGUCAAACAGGGCUGCCUCUUGGCCCCUUUUCUAUUCAAUUUCUAUAUCAACGACAUCGUUACAACUAUGCAGGCCCUAAAUCAAUCUGCCCCCUCUCUACAACAGCUCAAGAUCCCCAUAUUACUCUAUGCGGACGACAUGGUGAUACUGUCUUUAACCAAGCAGGGCUUAAACAACAUGCUCAGAGGGCUCAUGACAUAUUGUGAUACCAAUUCCCUCAAAAUCAAUUUCGCCAAAACCAAAAUUCUUACUUUUGGCACGAAAACUCGGAAGUCAUUCUGGAACUUUGAGGGCCACUCUAUUGAAUAUUGCUCAGCUUUCAAGUAUUUGGGAAUCACUUUUCAGCAUGGGCUUAGCUGGUCAGCUCACCUAAAUAUGACCAUCCUGGCUGCCCGUAGAACCAUCAAAGCCUUGGAGAAAUUCUUCUAUGCAAAAGGCGGCCAGUUGGUUCCACCAAUCAGAAAAGCAUUUAUUAGCAAAGUCCUCCCGAUGUUACUGUAUGGGGUUGAAAUCUGGGGGUGGAAUUUAAAAACACUUCAACGGCUGGAGAUUCUACAAAACUCUUUUGUACGAAAGAUACUGGGUCUCCCCAAGGGCUCGGUUGCUGCUCAGUUAAGAACAGAACUGGGCCUCCCCUCCAUUGUUGCGAGAGCCCAUAUUAGAAUUAUUAGUUUUUAUUGCAAAUUAAUCAAUGCCCCAGGUUCCCUACUAGCCAGGCAAGCCUUUUUAACUUGUUCUCACUCCAACAAAUGGUCCAAGGCCAUGGAGACUAUUACUGUACGCUACUCCCUCCCAGAAUUCGACACGUUGUCAUCUUGGGACCAACAUAAAAUCCGGGACUGGAUUCUUAUAAGAGAUGAGGCCAUGGACCGGGCACAGUCCACCUCAGCUCGCCUCUCCAUGUGGCUCCCUAAAGUGAAAGUGGUAAGAUCACUUGCCAACUACUUGAUAGACCUGACGGAGCCCAAUUUGAGAAGAGCGUUUACAAUGGCCCGUUUUCAUUCUAUACCCACGGCCUUCUUGCAGGGGACCUACUCUAAGACCCCUAUUACUCAGCGUCUAUGUCCAUGCACAAUGAAUGAAGUAGAGGACUUCAUACAUUUCUUUUUCUACUGCCCUAUUUAUGACCCAAUAAGACCUAAGCUCCUCCUCUUGAUCCCGUCCUCCAUUUCAUCUAAGGAAGACUGUCUGAAAGCACUUCUUGUGGACGCAAAUCCCCAAAUUUCACGUGGGGUGGCAAUCUUCAUAGUGCAGGCUCUGAAACUCAGGGCUACUCUGACAGGGUAGUGUGCCCUAGUCCUGGACCUGUUUAAUUCUUUUAUUACCUUUUUAACUCAAUGUGCUGAGCCUAUUUUGGGGCCAUUUUAUGCUUUAUUUAUAUCCGCAUACUAGUUUUUGGUGCUGGCAACCAAAUCUUUGUAUUAUUGUCUUAGGGUGUUUUAAAUGUCAUUACGCCAGCAAUAUCGCUUUGAAUUUUGCUUGGUUGCUUGUCCCCAACAUUUUUUGUAUUGUCUUAUUUUGCUAUGGCUGUAUGCUAAUGCAAUUAAAUUAAAAUUGA